rnacentral:tRNA from 1 species
CUUGAUAUAGCUCAGUUGGUAGAGCGGAGGACUGUAGUUCCUUAGGCCGCUGGUUCGAGUCCGGCUAUCAAGA